rnacentral:rRNA from 1 species
ACGAACGCUGGCGGCGUGCUUAACACAUGCAAGUCGAACGAUGAGGGGGAGCUUGCUUCCUGGAUUAGUGGCGAACGGGUGAGUAACACGUGAGUAACCUGCCCUUGACUCUGGGAUAAGCGUUGGAAACGACGUCUAAUACCGGAUAUGACCUGUGACGGCAUCGUCUGCAGGUGGAAAGAAUUUUGGUCAAGGAUGGACUCGCGGCCUAUCAGGUAGUUGGUGAGGUAACGGCUCACCAAGCCGACGACGGGUAGCCGGCCUGAGAGGGUGACCGGCCACACUGGGACUGAGACACGGCCCAGACUCCUACGGGAGGCAGCAGUGGGGAAUAUUGCACAAUGGGCGAAAGCCUGAUGCAGCAACGCCGCGUGAGGGACGACGGCCUUCGGGUUGUAAACCUCUUUUAGUUGGGAAGAAGGGAGCUUGCUCUUGACGGUACCAGCAGAAAAAGCACCGGCUAACUACGU